rnacentral:ncRNA from 1 species
UAGGAUGAUUUUUGGUGUUUAGUGGUUAGUUUCCAAUUAACUCUUUCAGAGUACCUUGAAUAUUUAAGGAAUGACCUUAUCUAGUUUCCAGUAGCAAAUUCUGACCAGUAUUGGAGGUGUUAUGCGUCUGGAUCGUCUUAC